rnacentral:rRNA from 1 species
UACGGAGAGUUUGAUCCUGGCUCAGGAUGAACGCUGGCGGCGUGCCUAAUACAUGCAAGUCGAGCGAACUGAUUAGAAGCUUGCUUCUAUGACGUUAGCGGCGGACGGGUGAGUAACACGUGGGCAACCUGCCUGUAAGACUGGGAUAACUUCGGGAAACCGAAGCUAAUACCGGAUAACAUCAUUCCUUGCAUAAGGAAUGAUUGAAAGAUGGUUUCGGCUAUCACUUACAGAUGGGCCCGCGGUGCAUUAGCAGGAAUGAUUGAAAGAUGGUUUCGGCUAUCACUUACAGAUGGGCCCGCGGUGCAUUAGC